rnacentral:rRNA from 1 species
GAUACCCUAUUAUUUUAAAUGUGAUUUUUUGGCUAAAAUUAUUAAUAGUUAAGUUCUUUAAAAUUAAAAAUUUUGGCGGUAUUUUAGUCUUUUCAGAGGAACCUGUUUUUUAAUCGAUAGUCCACGAUAAUUUUUACUUAGGCUUUAAAUUUAUAUAUCGUCGUUUAUAAAGAUUUUAAUAGAAUUUAAAUUUUUAAUAUUUGUUAUUUUAUAUUAAUUCAGAUCAAGGUGUAGUUUAUGCUUGAGACAAAAUGGGUUACAUUAAAUUUAUUUUUGGUUUUAUUUUUUAAAAUUUUAAUUAAAUUGGAUUUGAAAGUAAUGAUUAAUAUUUAUAUAUCAUGAUUAAGCUCUAAAAUAUGCACACAUCGCC